GGGGUCGUGGCCUUGCUCCCGCUGUGCGGGAAAAGAAUCCAGGCCCUUCCACGCGCGUGUGGGCGCGGGGGCCCCGAAAUGCUCCUGGUUCCGCACUAGGUCUCUGGUGGGGCAGGAACCGGAGCCAUGGGUGGGACCACCAGCACCCACUGGGUCACCUUCGAGGGGGACGAGAAUGAGAACAUCACCGUGGUGAAGGGCAUCCGGCUUUCGGAAAAUGUGAUUGAUGGAAUGAAGGAAUCCUCUCCAUCUGGUUCGAAGCCUCAGCGGUAUUCUGUUGCUUAUGGUGCCUCAGUUUCUGAUGAAGAAUUGAAAAGAAGAGUAGCUGAGGAGCGGGCAUUGGAGCAAGCUGAGAAAGAAUCUGAAGAUCAGAAACGACUAAAGCAAGCCAAAGAGCUGGACCGAGAGAGGGCUGCUGCCAAUGAGCAGUUAACCAGAGCCAUCCUUCAGGAGAGGAUAUCAAACGAGGAGGAAGGCGCUAAGGCAAAGCACCUGGCUAGGCAGCUGGAAGAGAAAGACCGAGUGCUAAAGAAGCAGGAUGCAUUCUACAAAGAACAGCUGGCUAGACUGGAGGAGAGGAGCUCAGAGUUCUACAAAGUCACCACUGAACAAUAUCAGAAAGCUGCUGAAGAGGUAGAAGCAAAGUUCAAGCGGUAUGAGUCUCAUCCAGUCUGUGCUGCUCUGCAGGCCAAAAUUCUUCAGCGUUACUGUGAGAACAUCCACCAGACCCUCAAAUGCUCCUCUCUGGCCACCCAGUAUAUGCACUGUGUCAAUCAUGCCAAACAGAGCAUGCUUGAGAAGGGAGGAUAAAAACUUUCAGAACGAGCAAAACACCAUCAACGUUAAUUCCAGAGAUGGAACAUUUUUUUUUUCCUAGUAAGAAAAUAACCCAUUUGAAGAGAAGACCACUAAUGAGAAGACCACUAAAGAGAGACACCAAGAAUGGAUUCAGCAGAGUCAUUUCACAUUUUGAACAGCAGCAAUUUGAAGGGCCAAAGCCUUGAUCAGGGAUCAGUCAUUAAAGAACACACUUCAGUAUUAGUAAACCCUCUUAUGAUGAUUAAAAGAGAAGGGCAGCCCUCUCCACCGUUUGGUACUUUCAAUUCAACUUCCACUGAACAUAAAAUGUUUUUCUUCAGAGCAAGCCCCAUCAUUUGGUGAAUCUCCACCCUAACAAAGUAGGAUGGGGUGGGGGGCUAAAUUAAUUGGAGUGGGGUGAGGAGAGAGCCAGAAAACACAGAUCUGGAGCAGCAGUGCUGGGUGGAAUUGUCUAGGCUAUGGCAUGCUGGCUUUCUCUUUCUUUCUUUUCUCCUUUGAUUAUGUAAGAGCUGUUUCAUUUUAACUUAUUAUGGUGAUUACACAGGCAAGAAGACAAAACGGAGAGAAAAUGUACCUCUUCUACUGGAAUAAUGUUUAUGAUUACAAGUGAGAGACUGUAUUUUUAUCAAUAUGAAGGCAACCUUGGCUGAUAUAACCUCUAUACUGAAUACUCACAUCUUUACUUCACUCACUAUCAAUAAUAAAUAUAUUUUCUGACAAAAAAA